rnacentral:tRNA from 3 species
GCCUCCUUAGCUCAGUCGGUAGAGCGUUUCACUCGUAAUGAAAAGGUCGCCGGUUCGAUUCCGGCAGGGGGCUCCA